GGCUGAAAUUCGCCUUCACGAAGUCGGAAUUGCUAGUAAUGGCAGGUCAGCAUACUGCCGUGAAUACGUUCCCGGGCCCUUGUACACACCGCCCGUCACACCAUGAGAGUUGGCAAUACCCAACGUACGUGAUCUAACCCGCAAGGGAGGAAGCGUCCUAAGGUAGGGUCAGCGAUUGGGGUGAAGUCGUAACAAGGUAAC
rnacentral:rRNA from 1 species